rnacentral:lncRNA from 1 species
CCCUUAUUAAAUAUAUGAUAAAAAGGAAAACAUUUUAUACAAUACAUUACAAGUUUGACAAAAUAAUUAAGAAAAUACAAGGUAUAGAUAAAACCCCUUUUUGAGCUUGCAAUUGAUUUCUCCAAAGCUUUGCCAAAUCCUUAAUUGAAUCUCUUUGUGCUCUAGAAUGUGCCUCCAAAAUACACAAGAAAAGAAAAGAAAAUGAAGAGAAAAGAAAGAAAAAUAGAAACAAAGCAAAAAUUAAAGAGAAAGAAGACCUAGCCCAAGAAUUCCUAGAAUUGACUAACAAAACGGUAUUUAAAUGGCCAAAAAUCAUUUAAGGUGAAAUUGCUAAAGAAGUCCCGAAAUUUACGUGAAAUAGGCAAAAUUUACCUAAUCAGAAGGCGGCGCGCGCACGCGGGCAUUCGUAAGGCCCCUCAACUUUGAUCAUCUACAAUCUGG